GACGAACGCUGGCGGCGUGCUUAACACAUGCAAGUCGAACGGAAAGGCCCUGCUUGCAGGGUACUCGAGUGGCGAACGGGUGAGUAACACGUGGGUGAUCUGCCCUGCACUUCGGGAUAAGCCUGGGAAACUGGGUCUAAUACCGGAUAGGAGCCAUUUUUAGUGUGAUGGUUGGAAAGUUUUUUCGGUGUUGGAUGAGCUCGCGGCCUAUCAGCUUGUUGGUGAGGUAAUGGCCUACCAAGGCGGCGACGGGUAGCCGGCCUGGGAGGGUGGACGGCCACAUUGGGACUGAGAUACGGCCCAGACUCCUACGGGAGGCAGCAGUGGGGAAUAUUGCACAAUGGGCGCAAGCCUGAUGCAGCGACGCCGCGUGGGGGAUGACGGCCUUCGGGUUGUAAACUCCUUUCGCUAGGGACGAAGCUUUUUGUGACGGUACCUAGAUAAGAAGCACCGGCAAACUACGU
rnacentral:rRNA from 1 species